GACGUAGGGAGCGAGCGUUGUCCGGAAUCAUUGGGCGUAAAGAGCAUGUAGGUGGAUCAAUUAGUCUGCUGUGAAAGUCAAAGGCUCAACCUUUGAAAGCCGGUGGAUACUGUUGAUCUAGAGUACGGAAGAGGCGAGUGGAAUUCCUGGUGUAGCGGUGAAAUGCGCAGAUAUCAGGAGGAACACCAAUUGCGAAGGCAGCUCGCUGGGACGUAACUGACGCUGAGACGCGAAAGCGUGGGGAGCAAACAGG
rnacentral:rRNA from 1 species